rnacentral:rRNA from 1 species
AGAAUCAACGCUGGCGGCGUGCCUAACACAUGCAAGUCGCACGAGAAAGGGUAGCAAUACCUGAGUAAAGUGGCGCACGGGUGAGUAACACGUGAAUGAUCUACCUCCGAGUGGGGAAUAACUGAGAGAAAUCUUAGCUAAUACCGCAUAACACUUACGAGUCAAAGCAGCAAUGCGCUUGGAGAGGAGUUCGCGGCCGAUUAGUUAGUUGGCGGGGUAAUGGCCCACCAAGACGAUGAUCGGUAUCCGGCCUGAGAGGGCGCACGGACACACUGGAACUGAAACACGGUCCAGACUCCUACGGGAGGCAGCAGUGGGGAAUUUUGCGCAAUGGGGGAAACCCUGACGCAGCAACGCCGCGUGGAGGAUGAAGUCCUUCGGGACGUAAACUCCUUUCGAUCGGGACGAUUAUGACGGUACCGGAAGAAGAAGCCCGGCUAACUUCGCGCCAGCAGCCGC